GAUGAAGAACGUAGCGAAAUGCGAUACGUAGUGUGAAUUGCAGAAUCCAGUGAAUCAUCGAAUCUUUGAACGCACAUUGCGCCCGCCAGCAUUCUGGCGGGCAUGCCUGUUCGAGCGUCAUUUCAACCCUCGACCUCCCCUUGGGGAGGUCGGCGUUGGGGACCGGCAGCACACCGCCGGCCCUGAAAUGGAGUGGCGGCCCGUCCGCGGCGACCUCUGCGCAGUAAUACAGCUCGCACCGGGACCCCGACGCGGCCACGCCGUAAAACACCCAACUUCUGAACGUUGACCUCGAAUCAGGUAGGACUACCCGCUGAACUUAAGCAUAUCAAUAAGCGGAGGA
rnacentral:misc_RNA from 1 species